CAGGGUGUGGUCAUGGUCAGCAGGGACAGAGCACUUCCCAGCCUGUUUUCUCCUUUGAAGCAGACAGAGAAGAGGAUAGUCUCACCAUUUGACAGUCUAUGGACAUACCUGCAAACCUCAGACCUAAGAUGGACCUUAUCUGGUACAGCUGGGAUAUUGAACAUCUUAAGCUCAUUUCUGGAACACUGGAUGUCAGGAACAUGCAUAUUUAUUCAUCUCUUGUCAAAGUUUGAACCACUGCUCAUUCUAAAGGUCUGGAGGCUGGGAGACUAUGAUCAGGGUGCCAUUUCUCUUUCUGGUUUACAGACCUUGCCUUCCUGCUUUGUCCUCAUACGGUGGAGAGAGUGAGCUCUGGUGUCUCUUCCCUUCCUGUUCUUAUAAAGCACUAAUCCUGUCAUAAAGUCCCCACCCUUAUGACCUCAUCUAAACCAAAUUACCUCCCCAAGUUUCCACCUCCAAAUACCAUCAUGUGGGGAUUAGGGCUUCCACAUAUAAAUUGGGGGGACACGGUAUUCAAUCUAUAACAGGCAUCAAUGUAACCAUCAACUUAUUAAGACACAAGGGAUUGUCAUUACUGCAGAAAGUGCUCAUGCCACCUCAUGCCCUAUACUAUAAGGCCAUAGUAAUCAAAACAGCAUGGCUGUUGCCUCAAAGGAGGCAAUUGUAAACAAACCAGCAUGUGUUGCCCCAACAAUGAAGCAGAGUGACCCAGAAGAGAAGGGUCUGCAGGAGGAGACUGCUGCUUAAGGCAACAGUAAAUAGUCAGCGUGUGCAGCCCUGGUAGCUGAGCAGCUCAUGACACAGCCAGAGAGAGCUUAUACUGAGGCUGCAUGGGGCUGAAAAUGUCAAAACACACAUGUGUGGUGUAGGUCAGCAAGCCACAGCAGGGACCAGGUGCCCUACCGAGGCAGAGAGGCUUGUGCACAACUGGGAAACUUCUGCCCCUUUCCACAAGACGGCAGCUGGAAGAGGGGCAAAGACAACUGUGGAAAACAUGGCCAACAUUGGCCCACAUUAGUUGAAUAGAUAGACACUCCCACAGCAUGUGGGAUUUGGAGAGGGAACUUCAAAACAGAACACAUGCAGAAGCCUUGCUCUUCCUUGCCUUGUGCCCCUGUUUGGUGACCCACAGACGUGGGGUCCACUUGGGGCUUCAGCCUCACACAGACGGGAGUCAGGUGCAAAGGUGAAGGCCCAUGCUAGGAUGUGUGCCUUGCUGGGUGCCUGCCCUUGGGAUACUGGGUGACAUACCACAUGGGUCCUGGAGUGCUUCCAUUUUUUUGCUCUAAGAGUAGUGCAGGGAGGCUGGGAACAGCACAUGGAGGCAUGUGCUGGGAAUGUUCCUUGGCCCCAGGGGCCCAGGCAGCCUUGGGUGUUAGGGCCCCACAAGUAGAGCUUCCCCUCCACAACUGUCUGGAUUGAUCUGGCAGCGCACCACAGACCCUGCGGGUGAGAAAAAUCUGCUGUGGGACAGUGGUGACUCUGGAAUCCACAUAUGCACACCCCCAAAAAGAAAAAGCCUAAAUAUGGAGACCCAUUUGUAUAGACACCAUGAACUCCAAAAGGACAGAUAAACAAUAAUGGGAAACUUUAGGAUAUGGAUUGGAAUUUCAGUCCUCUUGGGAACAUGGAAAUUUCUAUGCUUGGUGGGAAAGAUUGGCUUAAAACAGGAAUGCUCUCAACCACCACCCCCCCAAACAGUGGAUGCCCUGUUCAUGAAAACUUCUUUCCUUUCCCACAAAUCUUUAUGUUAUGCUUAUACAUGGUAGCAAAUGGCCAGACCCCAGGCUGCCCAGUUACAAGAGAGAACAAGUAUUUGGAAACCAUUUGAAAAAACAA